rnacentral:rRNA from 1 species
UGGCUCAGGACGAACGCUGGCGGCGUGCCUAAUACAUGCAAGUCGAACGGUCUUUCCUAUGGAAGCUUGCUUCCACUGAGAAGAUAGUGGCGAACGGGUGAGUAACACGUGGGUAACCUGCCCAUAAGAGGGGGAUAACAUCCGGAAACGGGUGCUAAUACCGCAUAGUUUUCUUGAUCGCAUGAUUGAGAAAGGAAAGACGGCCUUUGUGCUGUCGCUUAUGGAUGGACCCGCGGCGUAUUAGUUAGUUGGUGAGGUAACGGCUCACCAAGACGAUGAUACGUAGCCGACCUGAGAGGGUGAUCGGCCACAUUGGGACUGAGACACGGCCCAAACUCCUACGGGAGGCAGCAGUAGGGAAUCUUCCGCAAUGGACGAAAGUCUGACGGAGCAACGCCGCGUGAGUGAAGAAAAGGUUUUCGGAUCGUAAAACUCUGUUGUCAGAGAAGAACAAGUUGGAGAGUAACUGCUCCAGCCUUGACGGUAUCUGACCAGAAAGCCACGGCUAACUACGUGCCAGCCGCCGC